AUGCAUCGGCUGCCCAAUAAAGAAUCCCCAACCACCCUUGCUUCUGGUAAUUUUUCUUACAAUUCCGUCGGUCGCGAUUCCCUCCGGCAGAGGACACCUGCUACCACCGAACCCAGGCAUCAUCCUCGGGUCGUCCCCUCAGGAUCGCGUCUAUAAAUGUGCCGAAGCACCGGGGAAGAGGCAUCGUCGUACAGCGAGACCCAGCCUUGUGAGGUUGGGGAGCGGAAGGAGAUGGGUAGAAGGUCCGGCGGCCCGAGGGGUCACCUAUGGGUGACCGUCCUUGUGCUGGUGGCUGCAUCGUUUCUGUCAAACAAUCUAGGAUUUGUAUCCGGAGAGGCAUACACUUACGCAUCCCNNNNN
rnacentral:lncRNA from 1 species